GCGUAAUAGCUCACUGGUCGAGAGGUCCUGCGCCGAAAAUGUCCGGGGCUGAAACGCGCCACCGAAACUAAGGAACCGAAAGGUUGGUAGAGGAGCAUUGCAUGCGGGAAGAAGCAGUACCGGAAGGAGCUGUGGACUGCAUGGAAGAGAGAAUGCCGGAAUGAGUAGCGAGAUAGAGGUGGGAAUCCUCUAGGCCGAAUAUCCAAGGUUUCCAGAGUAAAGCUGAUCUGCUCUGGGUAAGUCGGGGCCUAAGGCGAGGACGAGAGUCGUAGCCGAUGGACAACAGGUGGAGAUUCCUGUACUGCGGUAUGACAGAACUGUGGGGACACGUAAGGAAAGCGGAAGCCGGGAAUGGAGAGCCCGGUGCAAGCGGGGUACCAGUCACUUUGGCAAAUCCGGGUGGCAAUGGGAAGCCGUGAUGCGGAGCGAAAUAAAGUAGCGAAGUCCGUGAGCCAUGCGUCAAGAAAAGCCGCUAUCGUUUAUACCGUACCCGUACCGUAAACCGACACAGGUGGAUGAGGAGAGAAUCCUAAGGCCGGCGGGAGAAGCAUUGUUAAGGAACUCGGCAAAAUGACCCUGUAACUUCGGGAGAAAGGGUGCCUGGGAAACCAGGCCGCAGAGAAUAGGCUCAAGCAACUGUUUAGCAAAAACACAGGUCUAUGCGAAACCGAAAGGUGAGGUAUAUGGGCUGACGCCUGCCCGGUGCUGGAAGGUUAAGAGGAGAGGUUAGCGCAAGCGAAGCUUUGAAUUUAAGCCCCAGUAAACGGCGGCCGUAACUAUAACGGUCCUAAGGUAGCGAAAUUCCUUGUCGGGUAAGUUCCGACCCGCACGAAAGGCGUAAUGAUUUGAGCACUGUCUCGACAAUGCACCCGGUGAAAUUGAAAUACCAGUGAAGAUGCUGGUUACCUGCGCCAGGACGGAAAGACCCCAUGGAGCUUUACUCCAGUCUGGUACUGGGACUCGGUAUUGCAUGUACAGGAUAGGUGGGAGGCUAGGAGAUGGUAACGCCAGUUGCCAUGGAGCCGCUGUUGGGAUACCACCCUUGCAGUAUUGGGUUUCUAACCAGCCGCCGUGACCCGGCGGUGGGACAAUGCCAGACGGGGAGUUUGACUGGGGCGGUCGCCUCCGAAAGGGUAUCGGAGGCGCCCAAAGGUUCCCUCAGAAUGGACGGAAACCAUUCGAAGAGUGCAAAGGCAGAAGGGAGCUUGACUGCGACACCGACGGGUGGAGCAGGUACGAAAGUAGGACUUAGUGAUCCGGUGGUAUGAAAGUGGGAUUGCCAUCGCUCAACGGAUAAAAGCUACCCUGGGGAUAACAGGCUUAUCACUCCCAAGAGUUCACAUCGACGGAGUGGUUUGGCACCUCGAUGUCGGCUCAUCGCAUCCUGGGGCUGAAGUAGGUCCCAAGGGUUGGGCUGUUCGCCCAUUAAAGCGGUACGCGAGCUGGGUUCAGAACGUCGUGAGACAGUUCGGUCCCUAUCCGGCGUGGGCGUAGGAUAUCUGAGAGGAGCUGUCCUUAGUACGAGAGGACCGGGAUGGACGGGCCGCUGGUGCAUCGGUUAGACUGCCAAGUCUACGGCCGAGUAGCCAAGCCCGGAAGGGAUAAACGCUGAAGGCAUCUAAGCGUGAAGCCCCCCUUAAGAUGAGAUAUCCCAUUCGAAAGAAGUAAACCCCCUUGAAGACGACGAGGUAGAUAGGGCAGAGGUGGAAGUGCAGCAAUGCAUGGAGCUGACUGUUACUAAUCGGGUGAGGGCUUGACCAA
rnacentral:rRNA from 1 species